rnacentral:RNase_P_RNA from 1 species
UGGGCAGGCUGCUUUAUCGCCUUGAUUUUUAUCAGGGAGGAAAGUCCGGGCAACACAGGGCACCGUGCUUCCUAACGGGAAGAUCUCUGAAAGGGGAUAUCAACGUAACAGAAAAUAACCACCUUGAUAUGGCUGCGGUCAUACAGGGAAAGGGUGAAAAGGCGGGGUAAGAGCCCACCGGUGUUUGUGGUGACACAGACAGCCGUACGCCUCACGGGUUGCAAAGCCAAAUAUAUCCUGAUUUUUAUUGCAUUGCAGUAAAGCGAAGCGGCCCGUUUCGUUUCCGGAUAUCCGGAAAUCAGGAGGGGUAGGCUGCAGGAUCAAAGUAGUGAUAUUUUGACAAGACAGAUGAUAGAGGUCCCGGAAUUUCCGGGAUUACAGAACCCGGCUUACAGGCCUGCCCUUUUU